CGGGGCGUAGCGCAGUUUGGUAGCGCAUCUGCUUUGGGAGCAGAGGGUCGCAGGUUCGAAUCCUGUCGCCCCGACCA
rnacentral:tRNA from 1 species